CGACCGGCACACGGGUGAGUAACACGUAUGCAACCUGCCCGUCUCAGGGGGAUAAUCGUCGGAAACGGCGUCUAAUACCCCGUAUGAAGCUGGAUGGCAUCGUCUGGUUUUGAAAGAAUAUCGGAGACGGAUGGGCAUGCGGCGCAUUAGCUAGUUGGCGGGGUAACGGCCCACCAAGGCGACGAUGCGUAGGGGUUCUGAGAGGAAGGUCCCCCACACUGGUACUGAGACACGGACCAGACUCCUACGGAAGGCAGCAG
rnacentral:rRNA from 1 species